GCCGGUGUGGCUCAGUGGAUAGAGCGUUUGCCUGCAAAUCAAAGGGUCCUGGUUCAGUUCCAGUCAAAGGCA
rfam:Myotis lucifugus cont2.53860, whole genome shotgun sequence.